rnacentral:rRNA from 1 species
AACGAACGCUGGCGGCAUGCCUAACACAUGCAAGUCGAACGAGACCUUCGGGUUUAGUGGCGCACGGGGGCGUAACGCGUGGGAACCUGCCCUUAGGUUCGGAAUAACUCCCUGAAAGGGGUGCUAAUACAGGAUAAUGUCUUCGGACCAAAGAUUUAUCGCCGUUGGAUGGGCCCGCGUUGGAUUAGCGAGUUGGUAGGGUAAAAGCCUACCAAGGCGACGAUCCAUAGCUGGUCGGAGAGGAUGAUCAGCCACACUGGAGCUGAGACACGGCCCAGACUCCUACGGGAGGCAGCAGUGGGGAAUAUUGGACAAUGGGCGAAAGCCUGAUCCAGCAAUGCCGCGUGAGUGGUGAAGGCCUUAGGGUUGUAAAGCUCUUUUACCCGGGAUGAUAAUGACAGUACCGGGAGAAUAAGCACCGGCUAACUCCGUG